AUGGCCGAGCUCGCCGCGCGCGCCGUCCAGUCGCUGCUGGGCGUGAUCCGCGAUGAGGCCCGUCUCCUGUGCCGCGUGAAGACCGACGUGAAGUUCAUCAUGGAGGAGAUGGAGAGCAUGAACAGCUUCCUGGUGCACCUCAGCAAGAGGAAGAGGCACGGGGAGCCGGUCCUCACGUGGAUGAAUCAGGUGCGGAAGCUCGCCGACGACUACAGCGAGAGCAUAGAGCACUACCUACUCUGUGGCAAACCGGUGGUGUACCAUGAGCUACCUGGGCUACAUCUUCUCAUGGGUUCCCUGUACAUGAAGAUGGCGGCUCAGCACAAGGCCGCCAUCCAGCUGCGCGAGCUCAAGGACCGUGCGCGCGACAUCGCCGACCGACGGCUGAGGUACGAAGUCCACAUCCCCAUGCUGCCCGGAGACGUCACAGCACCACCGGCAUCAGCAGCCACCGUUACUGGAGGGUCAACGCCGUCGUCUCAACUCGUCAUAGGAGAGGGCGAAGAAGAGGAGCAUGAGGAGGAAGAUAAAGAUGAUGAUGAUGGGGCCAAAGAAAUGGAUCAUCGCUUUGUAAGGAGCUACGUCGAGCCUUCCACUAACGAUGAGUGCAGGAAUGAGCUGGUCGACUGUUUCCUCUACGCCCCUUACACCCAAGAUGGCCGCGACAACAACAACGACAGCCGCAGAAGCAAUAAAUUCAGAUCCAUCGCCAUUGUAGCACCCAAACAGAAGGAUGGUGUUGAAGUUGCGACUGGUGCUAUUGCUGUUGCCGUCCCCAAGGACAGGUUCGAGUCUAUGUUCCGAGUCAAUGUCAUGGAGGAGGACAUGAUGAGAUUGCCAGCCUUACCAGCAGGGCCACUGUGUUGGGACAAACCUGGUCCGGCGACGAACGCCGAGUGCCUCCGACGGCACGACCGCCGGAGGAACCUCUCUCUGUCUCUCUCGCUCGAACGGAGAUAG
rnacentral:rRNA from 1 species